rnacentral:rRNA from 1 species
GACGAACGCUGGCGGCGUGCCUAAUACAUGCAAGUAGGACGCAGUUGCGAACGGGUGAGUAACGCGUAGGUAACUGCCUAUUAGAGGGGGAUAACUAUUGGAAACGAUAGCUAAUACCGCAUACUAGUAGAUGGACUUGCGUUGUAUUAGCUAGUAGGUAGGGUAAUGGCCUACCUAGGCGACGAUACAUAGCCGACCGUAGAGUGUGAUCACCCCCUCUGGGACUGCGACACUGCCCCGACACCUCCCUCCUUCCCCCUUAUCUCUUCUUCUCCACUGUUCCGAACCCUGACCCUUCAACGCCGCGUGAGUGAAGAAUUUUUUCUUAUCCUCCAUCUCUGUUGUUAAGGAAGCGUUACUUAACCAGAAAGGGACGGCUAACUACGUGCCAGCAGCCGCGGUAAUAC